UGCACGGUCUGAUUAGUGGCGAACGGGUGAGUAACACGUGAGUAACCUGCCCUCCACUUCGGGAUAACCUCGGGAAAUCGUGGCUAAUACCGGAUAUGAAUCCUUGUCGCAUGGCGGGGGUUGGAAAGAUUUAUCGGUGGGGGAUGGACUCGCGGCCUAUCAGUUUGUUGGUGAGGUAAUGGCUCACCAAGACGAUGACGGGUAGCCGGCCUGAGAGGGCGACCGGCCACACUGGGACUGAGACACGGCCCAGACUCCUACGGGAGGCAGCAGUGGGGAAUAUUGCACAAUGGGCGAAAGCCUGAUGCAGCGACGCCGCGUGAGGGAUGACGGCCUUCGGGUUGUAAACCUCUUUCAGUAGGGAAGAAGCGAGAGUGACGGUACCUGCAGAAGAAGCGCCGGCUAACUACGUGCCAGCAGCCGCGGUAAUACGUAGGGCGCAAGCGUUGUCCGGAAUUAUUGGGCGUAAAGAGCUUGUAGGUGGCUUGUCGCGUCUGCCGUGAAAACCCGAGGCUCAACCUCGGGCGUGCGGUGGGUACGGGCAGGCUAGAGUGUGGUAGGGGAGACUGGAACUCCUGGUGUAGCGGUGAAAUGCGCAG
rnacentral:rRNA from 1 species